UGCAGUCGAGCGGUAGCACAGAGAGCUUGCUCUCGGGUGACGAGCGGCGGACGGGUGAGUAAUGUCUGGGAAACUGCCUGAUGGAGGGGGAUAACUACUGGAAACGGUAGCUAAUACCGCAUAACGUCGCAAGACCAAAGUGGGGGACCUUCGGGCCUCAUGCCAUCAGAUGUGCCCAGAUGGGAUUAGCUAGUAGGUGGGGUAAUGGCUCACCUAGGCGACGAUCCCUAGCUGGUCUGAGAGGAUGACCAGCCACACUGGAACUGAGACACGGUCCAGACUCCUACGGGAGGCAGCAGUGGGGAAUAUUGCACAAUGGGCGCAAGCCUGAUGCAGCCAUGCCGCGUGUAUGAAGAAGGCCUUCGGGUUGUAAAGUACUUUCAGCGAGGAGGAAGGCGUUAAGGUUAAUAACCUUAGCGAUUGACGUUACUCGCAGAAGAAGCACCGGCUAACUCCGUGCCAGCAGCCGCGGUAAUACGGAGGGUGCAAGCGUUAAUCGGAAUUACUGGGCGUAAAGCGCACGCAGGCGGUCUGUCAAGUCGGAUGUGAAAUCCCCGGGCUCAACCUGGGAACUGCAUUCGAAACUGGCAGGCUAGAGUCUUGUAGAGGGGGGUAGAAUUCCAGGUGUAGCGGUGAAAUGCGUAGAGAUCUGGAGGAAUACCGGUGGCGAAGGCG
rnacentral:rRNA from 1 species